rnacentral:rRNA from 1 species
UACGAAGGGGGCUAGCGUUGCUCGGAAUCACUGGGCGUAAAGCGCACGUAGGCGGGUCCUUAAGUCGGGGGUGAAAUCCUGGAGCUCAACUCCAGAACUGCCUUCGAUACUGAGGACCUCGAGUCCGGGAGAGGUGAGUGGAACUCCGAGUGUAGAGGUGAAAUUCGUAGAUAUUCGGAAGAACACCAGUGGCGAAGGCGGCUCACUGGCCCGGUACUGACGCUGAGGUGCGAAAGCGUGGGGAGCAAACAGG